rnacentral:lncRNA from 1 species
AACUACAACUAUUAUCCAACUUUGUCUUCUAUCUUCUGCCUAAGAUUGUAAUGCAAGUCUACUUUUUGUCUACAACAACAGCUAUCAAUGUAAUACGCAAUGAAAUGUGUAAUGCAAUAAGCAGCUAUCAAUGUAAUGCGCAAUGUAAAACAAAUUGUUUUGGAAGAAAGAACAAACAACAGCAACCGAAAGAUUGCAAGAAGAAGUUGGUUUGGUAGUGAUGCACAAUUUACAUCUAUCAAGGUAAUGCACAAUUAAUGUAAGGCCUCGAAAGCUAGUUGCAUACCUGUAUAGUUGGUACACAGCCCUUGGAACCUUGUUCUUCGCAACAAGGUUUUCUGCAAAUGAAUCAUAAUUCUCCGGAUGGGGAAUUAUGUCCUCUCUCAAUGUCAACUGUUUCAUAGAGUAAAUUAAAUCAAUACGUGAAGGUGUUAUAAUGAUAAUGAGAUCAUCUUGGUUAUUAGGAACCUACCAGUUCCCCUGUAAAGACAGGGCAUCCAUACUUGAAUAAAAGGUUCAGACAUGACAUUUUGCAAUAAAUUUUAAUGGGCAGCAUUUCUUGAUUGAUGAUAUGCUCAAUAGUUUUUAACUUCUUUGAAAAAAUAAACAUUACAAUAUUUCAUUCAGUUUUUUUGGAGUUCUGAAGCUUUAAUUAACAGACCAAAAGUGCCUUAUGUCUGAAGUGUGGUUGUUGCUCUCAAAUUGCUACUAGCCUCCUACUGCCCUUCAUCCAAUUGCUACUAGCGUAAUGGAAUUCUCAUCUUCGUUAAAUUCAAGAAAAAAAUUCAGUUUAUUACCCUGAACUUUAGGUCUAAAAUCAGUUUGAUACCUCAUCUUUUUUUUUAAUCAAUUUCAUACCUAAACUUUCAAAAUGACAUCAAUCUCGACCAAAAUGACUAAAAUAGCCCUGAUUAAUCUUUUUACCCUCUCUCUCCCUGCCUCCAAAUCCACCACAUGGCCGGCGCCGGCAUCCACCCCUACCACCAGCAAUGGGCCCCGGCGGCAGCCCCUCCUCCUCCCCCGGCCGUCGCCGCUGCCAUUCUUAACUCUGAGUGGGUAAAAAGAUUAACCAGGGCUAUUUUAGUCAUUUUAGUCGAGAUUGAUGUCAUUUUGAAAGUUUAGGUAUGAAACUGAUUAAAAAAAAGAUGAGGUAUCAAAAUGAUUUUAGACCUAAAGUUCAGGAUAGUAAAAUGAAAUUAUCUCUAAAUUCAAUGCUUUGCUCAAUCAUGAAUAUAUAUACCAAAAGAACUACUCUUGGGAACAUGACUUCUAUCAUUUCUACUAUCUCUCUCCGGUUGAAAAAAUAUACAAUUACAUUGGGUGGCACAUCUGCAGCAGCUUUGGCAACCAUAUAUUUCCUCUGCUCCGGGUUGUCAAUACCACAUGAUUCAUAAUCUUCAAUAACUUUUUCUUCAACCUUGUCUCUUUUUUUUAGGUACUUGUCACGUUCUUCUCUAUUAUGUCUUUAUAUAGUUUCAUUCAAAUGUUGAAAGACAAACCUGUAGUAAUAGAUGAAUCUCUUACCGUUCUUGAGGUACUCCUCUCCAUAUUCAUUGUAGACAACUUUGAAGAAUUUGGCUGCUUCUAUCUUUCGUUUAACGACAUCAUCUAUAUUUGUUUCUAUGCUCAAGGUCGGAAUAUAUUAUUCAAGGUCUGCCCAUAUUCCUUGGUAGGUUUUUGCUCUCUGUGAAAACAUAGGAUAUGCAUGGCACAUGAUCUCCUAUAUUUCUUUGUCUGUUAAUAGUGAAGGAUGAUAGUAUAAUUGCCGAAGUUUGUUCCUGCAUGCAAGUGAGAAUGUGAAAGCCAAGAUAAUAUAUUGAACUAUUAUUGUUUGUUUACGCUUUUUUAUAUUAUGCUAAACACUUUAAAUGAAAGUGAUUAUGAUUAUUGAAAUAUGCAAUUGUUAUGGCAAUUAACGUUCCUAGCUGACUCAGUUAUGUUUUGUUUACUUACACAUCGUUAUCCACUCUUACUAGCAUCUGUAGGAAAUGUUUGAAUUCUCCAGGAUAAUCGUGUUCCUCUGGAUGCAGCUUCUCGACCAAGCGAUAUAGGGAUUCUGGGUACAGAGUUUGAUACUCUUCAUGGUUCAAUGUGUACCUUCCUCCGGCAUUUACAACUAUAUUGUCAACGGUUAGUUUGCCUAUUAAGUUUCCAUUUCUCAUCAUGUUGACGCAGUUCCGAAUGGUGUCCUUGCAUUUUUUUUAGGAGAUCAAAUAACACAAUUAACCAAAAUUGAUUUUUUCCAAGACAAAGUGCAUAAUAUGUAGAUAAAUUAUGAGACUUGUAAUAGGGUAGCAGAAUGAUAUGUUAAUUCUUUAUUAUCUUAUAUAUGUUAUACUUUCUUGUCCAAAGUGUGGUUUUUUGUUUUUUUGUUUUUGUUUUGAGUUUUGUUGAUUUGGUACAGAUUGUGGUGGUGAUGAUGAGAGAUGUGUGUGGGGUUGGACACAAGAAGGUCUCUUGAGGUUCUGCAUAACUCGUCUCUGAUUUUUGCAGAGGAGAGGAUUCCUAUGAAGGACCCUAUUGACGAGUUUCAUAAGUACAUUGGUGGUUAGAAAAUAUCAGCAAUGAUCAUUAUUGGGCUGUGAGUUCUUGUAAUCUUUAUAUUAGUUGCAACAAUCAUUUGUUUAGUGCUAAUUUCAAUUUCGAUUCACAGUAUUAAGUACUAGAUUGUGUAAUUGAAAAUCUUCCAGUUCUCAUCAACAGAGGCAUGCAUACAUUAUGAUUAUAAAUCAGUUAUGUAAGGUGACCGUGAUUGUAAUGCACGUAUCUUUUGUAUGAUAUUGAAAACUACAACUAUUAUCCAACUUUGUCUUCUAUCUACUGCCUAAGAGUGUAAUGCAAGUCUACUUUUUGUCUACAACAACAACUAUCAAUGUGUUCUAUAACAGCAGCUAUCAAUGUCAUACGCAAUGGAAUGUGUAAUGAAAUAAACAGCUAUCAAUGUAAUGCGCAAUGUAAAGCAAAUUGUUUUGGAAGAAAGAACAAACAGCAGCAACCGAAAGAUUGCAAGAAGAAGUUGGUUUGGUAGUGAUGCACAAUUUACAUCUAUCAAUGUAAUGCACAAUUAAUGUAAAGCCUCGAAAGCUAGUUGCAUACAUGUAUAGUCGCUGCACAGCCCUUAGAACCUUGUUCUUUGCAACAAGGUUUUUUGCAAAUGAAUCAUAAUUCUCCGGAUGUCAUCUCUCAAUGUCAACUUUUUCAUAGAGUAAAAUUAAUCAAUACGUGAAGGUGCUAUAAUGAUAACGAGAAACCCUAAACCCUAAUUUAGCUUUGAAUUACCUCUAUUUCGUCAUUGAAUUUCUCCCUAGCCUUGUCCUUUAGUUUGACAUACACGUCUGUUCAUAUAAAUCCCCUAGUUGGGCUUCCAAAGGCUUGUAGUCUGUCAUGAUGUUGGUUUUAAGGGGAGAGAGGCAGUGAUGGGGAGAGGCACGGUAGAGAUGAAGAAGCGAUGGGGAGAGAGAGGGAGUUUAUUUUUUGAUAAGAUGGUUAUGAUCCAUUUUUAGGUGUUGUGGAGUGGCAGAGUGAGAAUCACGUACAGGUUGUGACUUAGGAGAGUGUUCUACAAUGUUGAACAAUUGUGUUUGGAUGAAGAAAUUC